rnacentral:rRNA from 1 species
UACGUAGGGUGCGAGCGUUAAUCGGAAUUACUGGGCGUAAAGCGUGCGCAGGCGGUUUUGUAAGCCAGAUGUGAAAUCCCCGGGCUUAACCUGGGAAUGGCAUUUGGGACUGCAAGGCUUGAGUGCGGCAGAGGAGACUGGAAUUCCUGGUGUAGCAGUGAAAUGCGUAGAUAUCAGGAGGAACACCGGUGGCGAAAGGCGGGUCUCUGGGCCGAUACUGACGUGAGGAGCGAAAGCGUGGGGGAGCAACAGGA